rnacentral:rRNA from 1 species
CCUACGGGUGGCUGCAGUGGGGAAUAUUGGACAAUGGGGGGAACCCUGAUCCAGCCAUGCCGCGUGUGUGAAGAAGGCCCUCGGGUUGUAAAGCACUUUCAGUGAGGAAGAACGCCUGGUGGUUAAUACCCAUCAGGAAAGACAUCACCCACACAAGAAGCACCGGCUAACUCCGUGCCAGCAGCCGCGGUAAUACGGAGGGUGCGAGCGUUAAUCGGAAUUACUGGGCGUAAAGCCCGCGUAGGUGGCUUGAUAAGCCGGUUGUGAAAGCCCCGGGCUCAACCUGGGAACGGCAUCCGGAACUGUCAAGCUAGAGUGCAGGAGAGGAAGGUAGAAUUCCCGGUGUAGCGGUGAAAUGCGUAGAGAUCGGGAGGAAUACCAGUGGCGAAGGCGGCCUUCUGGACUGACACUGACACUGAGGUGCGAAAGCGUGGGUAGCAAACAGGAUUAGAUACCCCGGUAGUC